rnacentral:misc_RNA from 1 species
UGGUUCUGGCAUCGAUGAAGAACGCAGCGAAAUGCGAUAAGUAAUGCGAAUUGCAGAAUUCUAGUGAGUCAUCGAAUCUUUGAACGCACAUUGCGCCCUUUGGCAUUCCGAAGGGCAUGCCUGUUCGAGCGUCAUUAUUACCUCUCAAGCCCCUAGCUUGGUGUUGGACGGCUUGGUUUCUUAGUUGAAACCCCUCCUAAAGUUAAUGACGGCGGCUUAUUAGACCUCCGGUACACUGAGCUUCUUAACUGAGCAUGUAUUGGUGUAAAUGGUUUAAUAGGGCCCCGGUCCCCUCCCUUUAUCGGGAACCCUUUCUUUAAGGUUGACCUCGGAUCAGGUAGGAAUACCCGCUGA